AGCAGCCGCGGUAAUUCCAGCUCCAAUAGCGUAUAUUAAAGUUGUUGCAGUUAAAAGCUCGUAGUUGAAUUUCGGGAUCGGCAGGUUGGUCGUGCCUACGGUAUGAACUGGCCUUGCUGAUUCCUCCCUCUUGAUGAGCCGUAAUGCCAUUAAUUUGGUGUUGCGGGGAAUCAGGACUGUUACUUUGAAAAAUUAGAGUGUUAAAGCAGGCAAGCGCUUGAAUACAUUAGCAUGGAAUAAUGAAAUAGGACGUUUGAUCCUAUUUUGUUGGUUUCUAGGAUUGACGUAAUGAUUAAUAGGGAUAGUUGGGGGGUCAUUAGUAUUUCAAUUGGUCAGAGGUGAAAAUUCUUGGAUUUAUUGAGGACUAACUACUGCGAAAGCAUUUGCCAGGAUGUUUUCAUUAAUCAAGAACGAAAGUUAGGGGAUCGAAGACGAUCAGAUACCGUCGUAGUCUUAACCAUAAACUAUGCCGACUAGGAAUCGGACGAUGUUAAUUUUUGCUUGACUCGUUCGGCGCCUU
rnacentral:rRNA from 1 species